rnacentral:lncRNA from 1 species
AAAUAUAGUGAUAAGUGCAUAUAGGUGUAAUUAAGUGCAAUUUUGUGAAGUAGAAAUCAAAAUGAACAAUAAGAAAAGGAAAAGUGAUGAGGAAAUGUGAAUUGAAAAAAAUGAGUAAGUGAUAAAUGAGAAUGAAUGAACCUAAAGGAAUGCAUCAGGUCGGGUGUGGGAAUGACUCCUAACUUUUUCGACUUCGAUUUUCCCUUUGAUUAGAAGGCAAAACUAGCGUGCUAAGGCUAUCGAGUAGCCACACUCGCUCGUUUCCCUUAUCGGGAGGGGACACUCAAGCAAAAUGAACCCUAUAACUAGUAUGGGAUGCAAAACCUAAAAUGAGAGGAAAAGGGGUUUGAGGAUCAUGCCAAAUGAUAAAACUAAGGAAAAUGCGUGAUAUGUGGUGAACAAGCAAAUGAUGUACUAUCGAUGGAAAAUCCCUAAGGGUCUAGCAUUGGACUAGCCCAUUCUAUGAAUUCCGACUAGCGUUGGACUAGUGGAAACGAUAAAAGAAGCCACAACUAGCGUUGGACUAGUGUGGUGACGUACAUUCAUCCAUUCCAUUCAUCCACACUAUGGAAAGCAAGUAGACAUACUAAAUACUCAUAAACACGUAGCACGUAACAUUUAGCAUGCUCGACUAGAUGCAAGGACCUAAUAAAGCGAUUAAACACUUAACACGUAGGCAUGCAACCAACUAAUGAACCUAUUACAUUCACUAACUAAAACAAAAAGGGGAAGGGGAAAAUGGACCAAAUUGCUCGCCACAGCCCUAUCUAUUACAAGCCAAGAGGUGUACACAUACCCCAUUUAAAAGAAUAAUUUAAUAAAAGCAAGAAUGAAUGAAAUAAUGGAACUUAAGAAUGGUAAUGAGAGCAAACUAGGCAUGCGAUUCACACUUAGCACAUUGGAUCACAUAGGAGAGACAAAAGGGAUAAAAGAAAUUAUACCUCCCUUGAAAUGAAGCUCUAAUGGAGUGAAAUCAACUUAUUUACCCUCCAAAAUAAUAAAAGCAUCAAGGCAUCACUUUAAUCAAGAAAAUAAUCACAAAAGAUAAAAAUGAAUCAUGAAAUUAAAUGAAUUAAAUCAUAUAAACAAUCUACAUGCAAGAAAUUAAAACAAUGAAGGACUUGAUUGCAAUAAUUAACAAAGUUUGGAGGUCAACAUUAAAGAAAAAUAAAGUUCAGGGACUCAUUUGCAAUUAAAGUAAGGACCCAAUUGAAAGCAUCGAAAGUUUGUAGAGCCAUAGUGAAAUUAAAGAAAAGUACAGGGACUGAUCUGCCAAUGCAAUUCCUGGUUUCUUAACGGAUCAAGCCACUGGGCUAUUUUAUUUGUUUGUUUGGGCCAGAAACCAUCUUAACCCAACCGUGACCCAAGCAAAACAGAUGGGCUAGUCUAUUUUAGGUCCAAGCAAAAUCCAACUAAAACAUAUGGGCUUUAUCCCUCAACCCAUGUCAACAACCCAGAAAAAACAAAUCAUUGAUUCCUUUGUCAAACCCAAACAACAAAUUCAAACCAAAACCUUUGAAUUGUAACCUUCCUAAACCCAACAAGAAACCCAACAAAUAUUAUUACCCAAAAACCCAAACUAUACUAAACCCAACAAGAUUAGCAAAUCAAUUAAAAUUAGAAAGUCACCAUUAUGAUCUAAAACAAGAAUUAACCUAGCUAAAAGACUACUUAUGCAUAUUAAGAGUUUGAUUAAAAUCUAAAAGGGAGAAACAAGCUCACUUUUCCAAAUUUUCGGGUCAUAUCAAAAUAAGAAGACUUGGGAGGUUCAAUCAUGACGAAAAUAAGGACCUAAUUGGAGGGAUCAUGAAGGUUUUGGGGUCAAAAUUAAAGAAAAGUAAAGUCCAGGGGUGGUCAAUUUAUGUUUCAAAUCAUGACUUAAUUGAAUGAAAUCUGGAAACUACACAAGCUUUAAUGUGAUUUCACCAAAGAGUAGGGGUCAAUUGGCAAAUUUCCAGAUUUGUACAAACAAAUGGUUCUCUGAAUCUUUCUUCUUCAACGAAUUUCACCAGAAUUUCAUCUCCUUUCGCAACAAAAUCCAUAAGCAAAACAGAAAAUCAAAAACCAAAGGGAAAAUGAAACAAAAAAUUAAACCAGAAACCUCUGUCAAACACUCUCUUGGCCCUCGGUUCUUCACCUGCGAACUCGCUGGCUAUCUUCUCCGUAUGUAUACAUAAAAACGCAGAAAAUCUCUUCUCUUUGGUUCAAGACUUUGGCUUAGGUAUUUUAGCAAACAACAAAUAAGCAUGAGAAACUUAAGCAAUUCUCUACUCAAAUGAAGUCUCAAUUGGCCCCAAAGUUAUCAGAACAAGAAGAAAUUACAAUCCAAUCAAUACAUAAAACGUAUGCUAAAAAUCUUGAACAAUCAGUGGGACAAUUGCAAGAACACAGCCACGGCAGACAUGCUCAAAGCUUGGGGAUGAACUGAAAUUCAAAGAAGGGGAAAAGGUUAACUUACAGUGCUCUGGCUCAAACGGCAGUGACGGCGGAUUCUGGUGGUAGUGGCAGCUCCGGCUGUCCCUUCGCCCUGCUUCCUUUCACGUUCAAGCGGCAAAAGACCGUUGACAGGUUCAGGCUUGACAUGGCCCGUUGCCCUCUCGGUCUGCCUCUGCUCACCACCCCCUGCAGCAGCCAUUUCUCCUCCACGACGCCAGUCUCAAACUCAACAACGACAGAGGAUGAGGCAGCGGCAUCGACGGCCUUAGCAGCUGGAGUGGGAGAAGUAGAACCCCCCUGCUGGUUGUUUUGACCACGAGGCCGCGACAAUUUGAGCGAUGCCGACGUUGCUGCAGUUGCUCCGAGCUUUAUCCGCCGCACCCUUCCUCUGUUUCUUUCUUCUUCUGUUUCUUUUUAGCCUCCGAUGAAGCACUCCCCUUUUCCUCUCAACCGAAGCUUUUUCGAUUUUUCAGUUUUUCCUCUGUUUUUUUGGCUUCCCCAAAUUCCGCCCUCACCCCCAAUUUCCAGAUUUUUCCUGCGUUCUUUAGCCGAAGCUCCCCCUAUUUUCCCCCUUUUGUUUCUGCUCUUCUUUUUUUUCCGUUCCUGCCUGCUGAAGCUUCCUCCCCAAUUGUUUCCUUGCCGACCCAGCUCCCCAUUCCUGCUCUCUCUAUUUUUCCAGCUUACCCCCCCUUGACUCAACCGCCAGCCUCUCUUCUGUUUUUCUCUGUUUUGUUUUUCCCCGUAGCUCCCCAAAUCUCCUCAGCCGUAAGCCUCCCUUCCUCUGUUUUUUUUUUCAAACCUCGCCGCUGCCCUUUUUGCUCUCUUUUCCUUUUUGUUCCUUUCUUUCAUUUUUCCUCCCACCAAGGCCCUUCUCCAUUUUCAUUUUUUUUCUGUUUUGUCCGUAACCCCCCUAGCCGGCCAUCCCCAAUCCUUUUCUUCUUUUUUUCUUUUUUUUCCAAAAUCCCUAUCUUCUAAGUGACUAAGCACUUUGCCACCUAUGUGAUGUGUUGUUAAAAAACUAAAAGUGACAUUUGCCUCCAUGCAUGCCUAUCCACUUGUCAUUUUUUCCUUUUUCCUUUUUCCUCUUUUCCCUUUUUCCUUUUGUUUUUCCUUCUGAAAUUUAAUGUGAAGCCAAAAAUAGCUAGAACAAAAAUAAAAUAAAUAACAAUAAUAAAAAUAAAAUAAUAAAAUAAUAAUAAAUAAUAAUAAUAAAUGAAAACUCUAAAAUUGAAACAAAUAAAGCUAAGAUUAAAAUAAAGUUAAAAAUCAAAAAUUUGGUGUCUACAGUUUGCCUCUCUUUGUCUGAGUUUUGAAAAAAUUUGAGACAAAGAAGUAGACACCAAAUACUUACCUGUGUUAUUUGGCGGUGAAAACGUCUCAAACAAAUGGACGCUUUAGAAACGGGGACUGACUCCUUUAUCAAACUGUGAAAUGGGACUGACCUAGACAAGAAAAUUAAACAGAAAAUUUAAUCGGGACUGACCCGAGACAGGAAAUUUAAAAUCGGGACUGACCCGAGACAGGAAUUUUAAAACGGGACUGACCCGAACAGAAAUUUAAAAUCAGAUGAAUUGAAGUGAGAUGGAGUGUUGGUGGGGUUGACCCAUGUUUAUUGGUGAUGCAAAUGCAAAUGAAAGAAGCGAAAUGAAGUGUUAAUGGGACUGAUCCACGGCUAGUGGCGGAUGCAAAUGAAAGGCACACUAGUGGGACUGACCCACGGCUAGUGGCUGAACAAAAUGAAAUGCGCACUAGUGGGACUGACCCACGGCUAGUGGCGGAUGCAAAAUGAAAUGCUUACUGGCGGGACAAACCCAGCUCCAAUAGCAAUGAAAAUGAAAUGCUUACUGACGGGACAAACCCAACUCCAGUAGCAAUAAAAUGCUUUUGACAAUCGGACAGUGGGAUAAAACCCGAGCCUGCCGAGGUCGGAGGGAUAAAACCCGUGCCCAACGAAAGUAAAAGCGGUCAGUGGGAUAAAACCCGAGCCUGCCGAGGUCGGUCGGAGGGAUAAAACCCGUGCCCAACGAAAGUACAACGGUCAGCUGGCGAAAAAACCCCCUGAGCCUUGCGGAGGGUCGCGUCGAGGAUAAAACCCGUGGCCCAACGAAAGUGAAAACAGCGUCAAGGUGGGAAUAAAACCCGAGCCUAGCUAACAGUCGAAGGAUAAAACCCGUGCCCACGAAAGUAAGCGGUAGUGGUCAAAAAAAAAUAAAAAAACAAAAAACAAAAAAAAAAAAAAAAAAAAAAAAAAAAAAAACAAAAAAAAAAAAAAAAAAAAAAAAAAAAAAAAUAAAAAAAAAAACCGAGUCCUGCGAGGUCGGGGGGAUAAAACCCGUGCCCAACGAAAGUAAAAGCGGUCAGUGGGAUAAAACCCGAGCCUGCCGAGGUGAACUUGAUUUGAUUUUUGAUUUUUUGAGUUUUUGAUUUUUUUUUUUUCAUCAUUUUUUGAUUUUUUGAUUUUUUGAGUUUUUGAUUUUUUUUCCUGAUUGAGAGAGACUUGUCGAAAUAAUUUGCCCCAGUAUGAUGAAUUGGUCAGUGGGAUUAAACCCAAGCCUGCCCAAUGGAAUGUUGGCGGCACGAAGUCCAGGCCCAAUGUGAUCUUGUGAAGUUGGCGGCACGAAAUUCCAGGCCCAACGGGAUGUUGUGAAGUUGGCGGCACCAAGUCCAGGCCCAACUUGAUAUUUGUGAUGUUGGCGGCACGAAAUCCAGGCCCAACGUGAUAUUGUGAACAAGAAAUUGAAUUUGAUUUGUCAAGAAAGAAGCAAUUAAAUUUGAUUUUUCAAGAAACAAGAAUUUGAACUUGAUUUUUGACUUUUGAAUUUUUUUUUCAAUUUUUCUGAUUUUUCGAGAGAAUCUUUUUUCAAAAUAAUUUGCCCCAGUGUCGAGUCCAUUUUUCCCUCCUUCUUGCUUCUCUUUGCAGUAUCGGCCUUCCGCCUCACUGGAUGCCUUUCGUCAUUUUGAACUAUGAAUACCUGUACAAGGGGUUCAUCAAAGUAUGACUUGCACUUAAAUUCCAGGAAAAGAGCAGCGGGAUUGAUCCGAAAAAUGUUAUUAUUUGAUUUUUGGACAAAAACCUCAAAUGUAUUACAAAGAAUUUGCCCCAGUAUGGACUUAUUUCAUGAAAUCUUACAAAUAAAAUUUUGCCCCAGUGUGGGCUCCCUUGAUUGCAAAAAAUUUGUUCAGAUGAUUCCCCAUUUAUUUGAACCAAGAAAAAUCGCACCUUCCAAAAUUUAGAAAGUAAUCAUUUGAACGUUGAAUGCAGAAAUUUCAUGAUGAAUUCCUCGAAAUAACACCAAAUUCAAGAAAAUUUCUUCCUCACUUUUAGCAUUGGUGCUUAGGGUAACAGGUCACCACUUCUGGUUGGCUCAUCUUUCAGGACCAAUCAAGUGACUUUAUUAUUUUUUGAAAUGGCUAAGGAAAUGGGAGGUCAGAAUUUGUUUGGUUGUUGUGCCCAAAAUUGUAAUGCAUUCAACAUCACAUCUUAGUGAAAGCAAAGAGUUUGUCACCCUUAUUUUUCAAGAAAACUUAGUCAACAUACAAGCUUUCUAGGCUUGUAACGUAUGGACAGAAGCGAUAGCUAAACAUGUGAAAAUUGGUUAACCCUUAUGAUCACAAAUGAUUGAUGAAUUUUUAAAAGCAUAGCCUUCACUUCAAGUUGUCAUGAAAGAUAAGUCAACGAUGGACUUUAUGAGCUUGUAAUGUGGUUUGAAACGAUAGUUAAAGAAAUAAGAUUUUCAAGGACAUUGCACUGAAGAUUGCUCUUUUCCAAAAUUGCCUCUAUUUUGAAUUUGCAAAUCUGAACUUUGUCUGACUUUUAUCAUCACUCAACAGGGAAUUUCAGCAUUGAAUGUUUUUGCACUUUUCCUUUGCAUUUAUUUUCCUUGCUUUUCUUUCUUUUCUUUCUUUUUCCAAAAAUGCCCUUCGCAGGUUUUCACAUGAUGAGUAGCGUCAACUCCAUACCCAAGCAAUUCAAAAAUACAGCUAAAAUUUUCGACAUCAGAAAUUUUCUGGACUGGGCUAUUGCAGAGAACAGAAGUCAGGACUUUCGGCUUUUGUAAUGGGGUCAGGUGGGGUGCUCAGAAAAGUUAAGGCUUGAAAGCAGAUUUCAAAAGCUGUUUAAAUGAUCUAAGAUCGCAUCAUUGUGCCAACCCUCUUUUUAGGGUUAAACCAUAACUCGCCCCAGUUUAUUCUCAACUUGAGGCUCUUUCAUCAUUUUCUUUUCUGAUUGAAUUUUCUUUUGGCCUUUUGCCAUUUCUUUGAGAUUUUUCAAAAUUGGCCCCAGUUUAUACUCAACCGAGGUUCUCUUUUCUUUUCCCUUUUGAUUUUUCUUUAUCACAUUUCACCUCUUGAGGCUUUUCUUUUCUUUUCAACUCAAACUUACCCCAGUGUGGGGUUUGCAAUUCUCAGGGGUUGCCAAACGAAAUAAUUCAUUCUGAAGGCUCAAAAGGGAUAACUAAGGAUAGAAUGUUCGCUUGGAAAAGAAAAGGGCCUGACCUUUAUCCCGUUCUUUACAUUAACUCUGAAAGGAAACUUUCAUUAAUGACGAAAUUUCUCGCAUGUAUUUGAAUUAAUUGACUGAGGAAGACGCCUGUGAAGCAUAGAUGAUCCGCCAGAUGAAAUUCUUCCUUUUCUUUUUUCAACAUUGGAACCCAAGUGGAAUCAAAUUUCCAAUUUGCGGUUCUCUCCCUUUUAGCCUUAGCAUUUUGGCUUUUCUCUCUCUUUUGGAAAAUUCUCCAAUCUUCUUCCCCAGUGUGGGGGGCGAUCAUAAGUGCUUUGAAAGGAACCAGCAAUUUUGGCUCAAAUGAGGAUGCAAGGGAUAAAGCAGUGUUUAAAUGGUAGAAACGAUGGCCAAAGCAUCAUUCUUACGCUUCAUAACAAACCAAAGUAAAGAAAUGCUCAUUGAGAAUCCAUUCCCCCUUUUGAUAUUCGAAAAUUUUCCCAUGUAGGGUUGUGAUCAUCAAGGCGCUUAUUUGAAACGAAGUUAUUCUUUUAAAGGCUCAAACGGGAGAGCAAAUGAUAAAAUGUGUAUAGGUAGAGAAACGAAUGCUCAAAGUAUCAUUCCAAAUUUUCAAAACAAACAAGAAUAAUGCACAAUUUUGCUUUCACUUAGAUGUGAAUUGAAUCGGUUAAACACAAUGGAUAUUUUCAAGCGAAGAUGGCCCCAAUUUGCAAAUUAUCAAUCAAUGUGACUGAUUUUAUUCUGGGGUUAAGUGGAGGGCUCAAAUGAGGAUGCAAGGGAUAAAGCAGUGUUUAAAUGGUAGAAACGAUGGCCAAAGCAUCAUUCUUACGCUUCAUGACAAACCAAAGUAAAGAAAUGCUCAUUGAGAAUCCAUUCCCCCUUCUGAUAUUCGAAAAUUUUCCCAUGUAGGGUUGUGAUCAUCAAGGCGCUUAUUUGAAACGAAGUUAUUCUUUUAAAGGCUCAAACGGGAGAGCAAAUGAUAAAAUCUGUAUGGGUAGAGAAACGAAUGCUCAAAGUAUCAUUCCAAAUUUUCAAAACAAAUAAGAAUAAUGCACAUUCUUGCUUUCACUUAGAUGUGAAUUGAAUCUGGUUAAACCAAUAGGCAUUUUUCAAGCAAGGAUGGCCCCAAUUUGCAAAUUAUCAAUCAAUGUGACUGAUUUUAUUUUGGGGUUAAGUGAAGGUAUCUCAUUGGGCCUUUUGAGUGACCAUUCACCUCUUUUCCUGAGCACUCUUAUUGUAUGGCUCGGAUUGCCAAUCGAGUGUAAGGAUUUUAGGAAGCAUAUACUUGUGAAUUUUCAGGUUGGGGUUGAAAAAAUCUCAAUUUAGUUUUAUUUUUUCAAAAUUCAUCAUGAAAUCUCCAAUGAGUAAGAAUAAAGAAUGAAAUGUACAUAAAUAUACACAAAACAAUAAUUGUCCAAAAAUUUUAUUGUUGAAAAAGUUUGAAACAAAAAUUCUCAUUCAAUUAUGAUACAAAUGAAAAGAGAGAAACUUGUAAAGAGCUCCACAUAUACACUUUUUGUCUCCUUUUCUCUUUGGAAGAUUGGAAUUCGUUUUGACAACUUUUCUCAGUGAAGCACGGGUCAAAACCUCAACUGAUCAAAUGGCUGGAUGCAAUGGAUGGUUUUCCCAAAAUCGACUAAAUUUCUCAAUUUGGAAUUCAACAUUGAAACCCUAAUUGGUUAAACGGGUUGAAUGAAAUUGAUAAUUUAUUUAAAAUCGAUCGCAUUGCCCUAAAAAGGGAAACGGGUCAAAUGAAUUGAAUGAAAUUUAAUUUAUCCAAAAUCACCCUAAAAGGGGUAAAUUGAUCAAAUAGAUUGAAUGAAACUUGAUUUAUUCAAAAUCGGCUCGGUUGCCCUAAAAGUGGGUAAAUUGGCCAAAUGAAUGAAAUUGAAUUAGUGAUUUAUUCAAAAAUUGGCCGAAUGACCCUAAAAAGGGUAAAUUGGUCAAAUGAAUUGACGAUUUAUUCAAAAUUGAUCAUGAAUUGACAAAAUGGAUCGAUUGAAUCGGCCGGCCAUUGAUGGUUUCAAAAAAUUAGUCUAUGAGCCUUCUAAAAUCACGAUUUGGCCUCAAUUUAUUCAUCGUCUCAACAGGAAGAAUCAUUUGUAAAUUUUUUCAAAUUAAUGUCCUUUUACGCAAGGGAAUUUUACCAAUUUUGAUAAAAUGGCCAAAAAGUGAUUAUUAGACGCUCAUAUACCAAAAAAUCACUCUUAUGAAGAUGAUCGGAUCCUACCUUACCUUGUGCACUACCCCUUUAGAUGGUACAAAAUGUAAACGUGCAAGUCUCACUGGAUUAAGUAUCCGAGACACAAGGUGGCUUAUUCCUAAACACGGGAUUCCCUAUGUGGCAUUCCCUUUCUAUGGUUUAUGCAUGAUGCCAGUUUAUUAGAGCGAUAAAAUGUGCAAUUCGAAAUGAAACGUGACCUAAGGAACCCUUUAUUUGCCAGGGUAGGCCUAAAAUGCUAUGCAAUUACCAAAAUCUAUGAAUGCAAUAUACCAAAAUCUUUAAACGUGCAAUAACCUAUCUACGAGGGUAGGUUCUAAAAGAAGGUCAUGCCAGACCUCUUAUCUGAUAGGGUUUGUGAAUGCAAUGGGGACAUAAAACCAAGAAAAGUUAGUUCAGCCAGAUAAAUACACAUAACACAUUGUAGCAACGAAAUCAAUACAAAGAAGUAAAGCAAUAGAAGGGAGAAAGGGGUUGGACCCCUCCCCUCGUGAAUAGUGUCCCUAGCUCAGGAUAAGGCCGACUCUACCCUAGGCAAUUCUAAUAUGGAUGCAUGAGGCUGGGGUUCGCUAAUGCAUCUAGACUCGAUAAGCUCAGGUCCCCGAGCCUUCAGACUUAGAAACCAAGGGUCAUCAAUCCCAAGGUUCUUUGUCGGUGGCUCGAGCGAUUCCCCAAACACCGCUACGCACACAUCGUGUCGCGGCUACGUGUUUGAGUGAAUCUAUCAAAAUCCUCAACCUUCGACUAAAAGCUAAAGGUUAUCAACCCAUAGCUUAAAGCGGAAGAUUGAGUGACCCAUCGGAUCGUGCUACACACACAUCGUGUCGUGAUCACACGUCCAAGUGGGUCACCUAAUCCUAAUAGGGUGGAGUGGCGUGACAAGCCACUAAAAGAAAAAAUAAAUGGGGGGUAAAAAUAAUUAAAGCGUAUGCACGUAUGCUAGUGCUCGUUUGGAGGGGAGGGAUCAAGAACCAACGCGAGGUUCUAAGGUGAUGUCCCCCACCCAAAUGCAAUGCAAGCGCGAGAUAAACAAGUAAACAUACAUCCAAUCAACCAAUCAUACAUUUCACGAGCGAGGGAGUAGUUGGAUACGCGUGAAAUGCAAAAAUCCUAAUAAAAGGAAAAAUGCAAUCCUAAACACCCAAAUGUAAUAUAUAAAAAGGUUAAAAGAAGAAAAAUGGUUGAUUAAAUCAAAUUUGCUCGGACUCUCGAAUGUCCCCAGUGGAGUCGCCAACUGUCGCGCCCCAUUUUUUAAUAAAUAAAUAAAUGGUUUAAAAAUGUAUUUUUUUGAUUCAAUUUGUGAUUUGAAAAAUGAAUUGUGAUUUAAAAGGAAAAUGGGUCUAAAUGGGGGUUUUGAGAGUACGACGAUUUGACCCAAAAAUUAUGGUUUAAAAAGGGUUUUUGAAAUAAAAAAACGGAGUCGCCACUUGGUAAUGAGUUAAGGUGUACCAAGUCACCUAAAAAUGAAUUUUUUAAAUGAAAAAAUGGGAAAGAGUAGUAAGAAACCCCUUUUAAACGACUCCUAGUCCACGUAAACCAAAAAAAAAAAAGGUUCGGAAGUCACAUUUGACGAAGGGGAAAGCAAGGAUAAAAAUCCAAGGCACCCCUUCGACCUAGCCAAGGCUAGUUGCGUGAUUUAAUCAAAGUUUUUCUUAUUUUAACCAAAGAAUUUAUUACAUUUGGAUGCACUACAUGAAUGCAAAAGAAAGAAAAAAUGCAAACCUAAAUUCUAAAAUGUCUCUUGUAAGGUUUUUGGUCCCAACCACAUGAAUUGUGGCGGCCAACAAAGGAAAACCUUAUAGAGGUCGAUUAAUGCAAAUGAUGGCUAAAGUGCAAGUGUGCAAGUGUAUAAAAAGGUGCACGUGUGAAAUUGUAUGAAAAGUCCAAGUGUUUGUGUGCAAGUGUAUGGAAAGGUGCAUGUGUGAAUUUGUAUGAAAAAUCCAAGUGUUUGUGUGCAAGUGUAUAAAAUAUAGUGAUAAGUGCAUAUAGGUGUAAUUAAGUGCAAUUUUGUGAAGUAGAAAUCAAAAUGAACAAUAAGAAAAGGAAAAGUGAUGAGGAAAUGUGAAUUGAAAAAAAUGAGUAAGUGAUAAAUGAGAAUGAAUGAACCUAAAGGAAUGCAUCAGGUCGGGUGUGGGAAUGACUCCUAACUUUUUCGACUUCGAUUUUCCCUUUGAUUAGAAGGCAAAACUAGCGUGCUAAGGCUAUCGAGUAGCCACACUCGCUCGUUUCCCUUAUCGGAGGGGACACUCAAGCAAAAUGAACCCUAUAGCUAGUAUGGGAUGCAAAACCUAAAAUGAGAGGAAAAGGGGUUUGAGGAUCAUGCCAAAUGAUAAAACUAAGGAAAAUGCGUGAUAUGUGGUGAACAAGCAAAUGAUGUACUAUCGAGGGAAAAUCCCUAAGGGUCUAGCGUUGGACUAGCCCAUUCUAUG